CUCAGAAUCAACGCUGGCGGCGUGCCUAACACAUGCAAGUCGAACGAGAAAGGGUAGCAAUACCUGAGUAAAGUGGCGCACGGGUGAGUAACACGUGACUAACCUACCCUGGAGUGGGGGAUAACUGAGGGAAACCUUAGCUAAUACCGCAUAAUACCUACGGGUCAAAGGAGCAAUUCGCUUUGGGAGGGGGUCGCGGCCGAUUAGUUAGUUGGCGGGGUAAUGGCCCACCAAGACUGUGAUCGGUAUCCGGCCUGAGAGGGCGCACGGACACACUGGAACUGAAACACGGUCCAGACUCCUACGGGAGGCAGCAGUGGGGAAUUUUGCGCAAUGGGGGAAACCCUGACGCAGCAACGCCGCGUGGAGGAUGAAAUCCCUUGGGAUGUAAACUCCUUUCGAUAGGGAAGAUUAUGACGGUACCUAUAGAAGAAGCCCCGGCUAACUUCGUGCCAGCAGCCGCGGUAAUACGAGGGGGGCAAGCGUUGUUCGGAAUUAUUGGGCGUAAAGGGUGCGUAGGCGGUUUGGUAAGUCUUGUGUGAAAUCUCCGGGCUCAACUCGGAGUCUGCACGAGAAACUGCCGGGCUUGAGUGUGGGAGAGGUGAGUGGAAUUCCUGGUGUAGCGGUGAAAUGCGUAGAUAUCAGGAGGAACACCUGUGGCGAAAGCGGCUCACUGGACCACAACUGACGCUGAUGCACGAAAGCUAGGGGAGCAAACAGGAUUAGAUACCCUGGUAGUCCUAGCCCUAAACGAUGAUUGCUUGGUGUGAGCGGGUACCCAAUCCCGCCGUGCCGUAGCUAACGCGUUAAGCAAUCCGCCUGGGGAGUACGGUCGCAAGGCUGAA
rnacentral:rRNA from 1 species